CCCUCUCCUAAUAUAUUUUUCGCUCUCGUUAAUCAAUUUCGUAUGCGUCGCUGUUUAUCUAAGUCACCCUUACGUUUAUUUCUGUGUUUGCAACGGGGUGACUUUUCCCGCAUACCAAACACAAAAACAAAGAAAAAGAAAAACAACAACAGCUGUGAAAUCAAUUACUGCCGGAUAUAGACAAGACAGGCAAGUGUUUUUUUAUUUUUAUUUGUUUUUUACAGUAAAAGAAACAGCUCAAGGGCAAAAAACAAAAACAAAAACACACUCCGCACUGUGUUCAGAACGGGGUGACUUUUCCAGCACACCAAAAACAAAAACGAAGCAAAAGAACAACAACAGCGGUGAAAUCAAUUACUGCCGGAUAUAGACAAGACAGGCAAGUGUUUUUUUUUUGUUUUUGUUUUGUUUUUACAGUAAAGGAAACAGCUCAAGGAAAAAAAAAAAAAGAAAACACUCGGCACUGCUCCUGUAUAACCAAAUAUAGAAGAGUCUCUGUGUGUGUGUGUGUGUGUGUGUGUGUGUGUGUGUGUGUGUGUGUGUGUGUGUGCCCAGCGGCGGAUAAAUUUCCCAGCGCAUUUGAUCCUAACCUCCGCUGCGCUGUCUUCAAAUCCAGUUACUUGUUCCCUUAUUUGCUCCCCUCGGCAUCCGUCACCCCGCGCCGCUCCUCCGUCAUAAUUACACUGGUUUACGAUCGACUUUUUGUCCACUUCCCGCUCUAAUGAGGCGCCGGAUAACAGAGUGGAGCCGAACGUAUGUGGAGGACCCUCGAUCCACCCACCCACCCACCCACUCCCUCCCUCAUGAUGGUGGUGGGUGGCUUUCUCCGCGCGCGAGGGAAAAAAUAGAAGGAAAAAAAAUAAUUGCAGAGGAGUAAAUCUAACGAGCAGGCUUUGAACAGUUUCUCCAUAAUCUGAUAUUCAAUAAUGCUUUUGAGUAUCACAAGUCAAUUAUUUAAGCAUUAUGUAUCUCGUUCGAUCUCGUUCGCUUUCUUGUCCUGUUUUUUUUUUAUAUGCCGCUGGGAGAAAUCAAACUAGGGAGAGACAGAACAAGAAGAUAGACAGACAGACAACAGGCAGGCUACAGAAAGAAUUGGAGACAAAGAAAAACUAGUAGACAGACAGACAGACAGACAGAUACAGUUAGGCCAAGACACCACCCCACCCGAAAUUGACCCCUAUUAUUAUUAUUAUUAUUAUGUUAUUGUUGUUGUUGUUGUUGUUGUGAUGGGGAGGGGAGGAGGAGAGGGGGAGGGAGGCUGCAGAACACUAUAUAACCAACGCACUCCUUCAGUACCACGAACCCAAAAAACACUCAUUUGAAUCCGAUUAAUCUCUUGUUUGGCCUUUGAAAGUAGUUAACGUGUGGAGUGGAAGCAUUUGAGGGCCAUAUCUUUGAACAUUUCGGAGCCCAAACUCACAAAUUUGACAUGGCUUUCUUAGGAGUUUCGGGGAUUUCCAGGGGUAGUUUAAUGACUCUGGUGGUAGUCUGAUCCUUCUUCAGUACCACGAACCCCAAAAAACACCCAUUUGAAUCCGAUUAAUCUCUUGUUUGGCCUUUGAAAGUAGUUAACGUGUGGAGUGGAAGCAUUUGAGGGCCAUAUCUUUGAACAUUUCGGAGCCCAAACUCACAAAUUUGACAUGGCUUUCUUAGGAGUUUCGGGCAUUUCCAGGGGUAUAGUUUAAUGACUGGUGGUAGUCUGAUCCUUCCUCUGUAUCGUAAACCUAAAACCACACUCAUUAGAACCCGAUUAAUCUCUUUUUUGACCUUUGGAUAUAAGUGAUGUGAUGGGUGGAAGCGUCUCACAAAUUUGACAUGGCUUUCCUAGGAGUUUCGGGCAUUUCCAGGGGUAUAGUUUAAUGACUGGUGGUAGUCUGAUCCUUCCUCUGUAUCGUAAACCUAAAACCACACUCAUUAGAACCUGACUAAUCUCCUUUUUUAGCCUUUGGAAAUGGUUAGUGAGAGCCAGAAGCGUCUGAGAAUUACACCCCCCACCCCCCGAGCAGUAUUACGACAGACCCCCUUUAAAGAACACCAAAGAAAAUCGUCUCUAUCGUAGGACAUCCUUUCUGGCGGACUGAGCGGGUGGGUGGGUGGGCGGUCUCUUACUCAGCUCCCAAACCUGAACAAGCUUAUUAUUCGAAAUUGGCCUAAUGAAGAUGGAGGUGGCCGCCGGCGCUGCUCAGCUUUUGUGGCGUAAAGUAAUUCCCUUGUGGCCCGAUACAUCAAGGUCAGGGCGCUGUGGUGUCAUUAUACGGGUGGUGGAGGAGGAGGAAGAGGUAUAUAUAGGAGGCCAUGGAUAGUCGCUCCCUCACAUCAACUUUAUUUAUUUUUUUUUUUUUUUUACAGCUAAGGAGACAGCUCAAGGGCGCAAAGAAAAAUAUUAAAAAAAAAGCCCGCUACAUACUGCUCCUGAAUAGAGGUCAAAGGAGUGGUCGAAAAGAGAGGUCAGUUUCGGGAGGAGUGGUGUCCUGAUACCCUAUUUUCAGAGGCCAAAAAAAGAAGUUCAAUCGAGUUCUAAUGUGUGUUUUUAAGUUCAAGGUACAGAAGAAAGGUGAAGCUAUCGGAAGGGUCAUAAAACUACCCAAAAAAGGGGUUCCAUCGAGUUCUAGUGAGUGUGUUUUUAAGUUCAAGGUACAGAAGAAAGGUGAAGCCAUCGGAGGGGUCAUAAAACUACCCAAAAAAGGGAUUCCAUCGAGUUCUAGUGAGUGUGUUUUUAAGCUCAAGGUACAGAAGAAAGGUGAAGGUAUCGGAAGGGUCAUAAAACUACCCCUGGAAAUGCUCAAAACGAUCUCCUGCGAAAGCCUGUGGUCAAAUAUGUGAUUGGAUGCCGCAAUGUUUGAGGAUAUGAGGCCUAUCUGUUAUGUACCGUACGGCAUGACAUUGAUUCGUUAGUAUUCAAUCAAUAAAUAAUAAAGUACUGCAGAACGUUUUAAGAAGCAAUAAAACAAUGAAAUGCGAGAAGAUUAAGAGAUAAACAUUCACUUCUGUAUCUGAAUUCAAUGUGUGAAGUUAGUUUUUUUUUAUCUAAAAAAAAUAAAGUACCACAAAACGUUUUAAGAAAGGAUGAAAGACAGAAGCAUAUGCAUCUUUUUAUCUCAACUGAAAGUGCGAAGAGUAAGUCUCUCUCUCUCUCUCUCUCUCUCUCUAACCAUAAUAUUUCUGAACAAUUAAAAGGAGGCUCAAAAUUACACUUUCUGAGUAUAACUCUUUGAAGAGCCUGAGUAUGGGACAAAAUUAAUCGUCGACUGUUGCACACACAUACAAACGUACAAAUACAAAAUACAAAAAUUAAAACAAACAUGUAAAAACAAUUUAUAUAAGUGUCAGUUUGCCACUUUACAUUUGUGCCACUACAGCGCACUUGGGUAUCCCUCACGCCACCUGUGAGCAGCCAGCUUCACCUGCUGCGUGUUCAUGUGUUUUCCACCUGGGGAGUGGCUGCCGUGAACAUGUUCCACAGGCGUGUGGUCCUGGCUGUAUAUGUGCGCUGGUGCUGCCUGGAGUGUGAUCGGGGCACUCCACAAGCUGGUCACUGGAGAGUGCAGUCCGGGUGAACCUCUGGGCAGCGCGCGGAGGACUCCUCAAGCUGCUGAGGUGGGGAGCCCCUGCUGGGCUUUGUGGCACACCAGCGACGUCACAGUGACAGACGACUCUCCCUCUCUCUUCUUUUUCUUUUCUAUAUUUUUUUUUCAAUAAAUAACAAAGUACCGCUGAACGUUUUAAGAAGCGAUAAAACAUUCACGCCUACCUAUAGUAUAUACCUCGAGUUUAAUGGGCGAAGAACAACUUAAAUUAAUUAGGAUGCCAUCUGAUUGAUACAAAUUCACUUAGCUUAAAAGACAGACCACCUAUAGUUUGGUUAAGGGUCUGUGUGGUCUGAAUAUCUAUGUCAAUCUAUGUAAACGUUAUCCCCGCUGAACGUUUUAAGACACACUAAUGAUAAUACGAUAGCCAAGUCCCUACAGUGUUUCCUAUGGGAAGCUUAGUAGGAGAACUAGGAUCGCUUAUUAAAGGUUCAUUUCUUGACACGUAUACGUGAAUGUGUCUUGUCACGAAAUAAAAUAAAUAAAAAGUCUUGUAGCCCCGGCAGGAUUCGAACCUGCGACCUCCAGUAAGUUAAAUCUGACGCUCUUCCACCUGAGCUACGAGGCAUAACCGGAACUUGCUAUGUAAAAAUCGUUAUAAGCUACGUACGAUAUUAGUAUUGUUGUGACUGGUGGCAACUACAUGUCUUUAUCGUCACCAUCCCUCUUCCGCUGCCUGUCUCUCUCUCAAUUUUCUCUUCUUACCUCCCUCCUCCCUUUUCUCCCUCUUUUUGGGUUAAUUUAUCUUUCUUUUCCUCAUCCUCUUUUAUUCCCAAGGACCUAAUCCCUCUUCCUCCUCCUCCUCUUUUCCAUCGAUUACUCCUUAUCUCCUUCCUCCUCUUCUCUUUAAGUUUCCUCCUUUUUCUCCCUCUAUUUGGGUUAAUUUAUCUUUCUUUUCCUCCUCUUUUAUUCCCUAGGACUACAUCCCUCCUCCUCUUCCUCCUCCUUUCCAUCGAUUAUCCCUUAUCUCCUUCCUCCUCUUCUCUUUACGUUUCCUCCUUUUUCUCCCUUUAUUUGGGUUAAUUUAUCUUUCUUUUCCUCCUCUUUUAUUCCCAAGGACUACAUCCCUCCUCCUCCUCUUCCUCCUCCUUUCCAUCGAUUAUCCCUUAUCUCCUUCCUCCUCUUCUCUUUACAUGCCCACUAUGUUUAUCUUCCUAUUCAAUUCCUCCUUCUCUUCCUCCUUUCCAUUGCUUAUCCCUCAUUUCCUCCCUUUCUCCCCUUUCUCACUCUCUAUAGGUCCCUUCUCUCUCUCUCCCUCUCUCUUCUCAUCUACGCCAUCUAUCUCAUCUAUCUAUCUACUUUACAAUAGCCUGCAACCCAUUCUUCCCGGCCACACCCACGAGCCACCCCACACCUUUCUAUUUCUACUAUUUCUACUUAAUUCAUAGCUUUUAAUGGCUUUUCCUCACUUCCUCUCAAAAAAUGGUCUGAGUUACUUUAUUCAUUGCUUAUCAAUUCACUCACUCAGGUUCUUCAAGAUUUCCAAGGACUCCUCAUUCCACCACUGUCUGCUCUCCUUCUAUAAGACUUUCCUCUCACACCAACUCAAUUUACCACCAUGCUUUAUUUUUAUCCAUUCUGUCUAAGCUAUUUCAUUACCAAGUGCUGAACAGUAAUGCAGUGUUAUAAGUUUUGUUAAGUCAUACUGCAAUAGUUUUUACUCUGGAUGUUUUUAUUUAAAUGAUAAUCAAUAUGACCAAUGUGUGUGUACAAAACUGCAGGUUGGAAAAAACGCUCAGCUUUAUGCAACAAGAAUACCUAGUGGUACCGUCAACCGAUAUUUUUAAAUGUAUCGCAGAUGGGCACAUUAUGCUAUGGGGAAUGACAAUUAAAUUCUUCCAUAAUCAACCAACAGCAUACACACUACAGUAGCUUCCCUAUCUACAGAGUACAUUAUCUACAAAGUACGGCAAUCUGCUACAAACAAGUCAGAACAACACACAAGUUUACUGUCAUACCUUCCCAGCUACACUCAGCGUAACAUAACAACCAGUACAAAUGAUUCCACUUGUAAACCACCUAAUGCACAUCGCUGCACCGGGCCCCAAGCAAGACAAGACACAUGCAUCACAC